UAUUAAUUUGACGAAAGAGCCGGGGCAUCUUGCACCCAGCUUCCAUGUGCUCGAUGCCAAGUAUUGCUUCUCCAGUGUUAAAUUAACUCAAGUGCUGUCCCUGGUAUCUAUUUUGCUGACAGUUUUCUUCUGGUUAUUCCAGUCAACUUUGGUUAUGCUAUUGGAUGGUUCAUGGGCUCGCGUUGCUGGAUGAAACUCUUGACGAAGACCUCGAGAACGAUAUUGUAGACUUAUUGUCUUGAUGUCGGGUUUGUUGAUCUGUUACGAUAUAAUUGUAUGGAUAUGUUGCUGCAGUUUGUAGUUAAAUUUUGAUAACACUUAUGCUUAAGGAUAUAUAUGUUGAAAACUUUACAAGCAAACUGUUUAAGGCUUUAGCUUAAACUUCCGCUCUUCUUAAAUCUGAUUAUAGAAACUAAGAAAUAAGUUGCUGAGAUAAUAUGCUCUGGUUGCACAACACAGUAAAUCUCAAAUCAGAUUUCAGUUGAACAACAUUGCUUCAUACAAGGAUGACAAGAAAAUAACCUUUAUUUAACUUUGCGCCAUGGUUAGGUUGUCCAUUACAAAUUUUUGCAGCAGUAUGAUUUUUUUAAGAAAAUACAAGUAGUAUUUGUCAUACAUAAUUAAAGCACUGAAGAUACACCUUUGCAGAUACAAUAAUUUCUGAAUAUUACCAUUUUUUUCUCUUAUGGUGGCGUAUAAUUGUUUCAGGACAAACAUGGUGGAUAUGGUGGUGGACCUGGGCAGUUUUUCUCUAACCUCAAACUCUUCUUAAUUCCCCACAUUUAGCUUCGGUAAUACUAGCUUUAGGUUGGUUAAUCUUUUUGCAUUAGUUCUUGAAAUGGAAUUUUAGGCAACCAUGGAAUUUGGAACAGGCCAUGUGAAUGUUGGGCUGUAGAGAUAUUGGAUUUGACAUUGCUUUCAAAUGUUUGCUUCACAAUGAGUGCUCUUAGACCAUUCUAGGCUACUUGACAUGUUCACACGAAUAUACAAAAUAACUUCGACCAACCAAUUUAGCAUUAUAAGAACUUCAGAGAUGUGUUUGGUAUUUGAUUACCUAAUGUGUUUGGAAAAGCUAGCUUUUGUAGUGGUUUUGUUUGCCCAUCUUUUGGAAGGUCAGAGAUAGCUUUUUUUGUUAAUUGAUUUACUGAUUCAGUUUCAUGUUCGGUGAGUGGGGUGGUCGAUCCGCUACUGAUCCUGACGUGCAUAACCAGUCACCUGUUUAUCUCUGGGCCCCUGUAGAGAACGGCGUCGCCGGGGAGGACGGGAGCGGUUCAACCAAUGGCCACCGCAAUGCUCUUCUGCCCGCUGCUUGCCUCGCCACCCGGGCGCAAAAUAGAGCUGACAAGAUGUCUGUAUGUACUGCAGUUCAAUGAGGAAGCGUGUCACUUUUUGUAAAGAAAUACAAGACCAUCUUUCACCCAGGAGAGGUUAACUGAAUUAGGGAGAUGGCGCUGUCCCCAUGGACAAAGUCAGUUGCUCCGAUAUGGAUGAGCAGCAGGUGCUGCUACCGCUGCAGGUGGACAAGGCACGAGGUCUCAUGGCUCCUCCCACUCUUCCCAACAACACUGUUGUGAUGUACUGAAGCCUCCCGUUCCACAUAUUCAGUACUUGCACCUCAACGUCACUUCUGUGAGUGGUGGCCUAGGUUAGGUCGAUCCCUAAUCUCUGUUCCAAUUUAUUCCGGUGUCAUUAUUCUCAGCAUCCUUUUAAUUGCGAUUUAUGCUGCCUUUGUAUUUUUUGGGGCUAGAGAUUGUAGGUUGAUUUAGAUUGCUAACUCGAUUCAGACUGUCAAUACUAUUGUAGAUAUCGAUGUUUCCAGAGCAUCAUUAUCAAUUGGCUGUUAUCUCAUUGUGUUUAUGAGCAGAUACAACAUCUCUUGUGAGACUUAGUCUUACACUUGCUGAUAUAAACUACUUGGCAACAUUUAUAGAAUGUAUGUCUUUCUGUU